UUUUCUUUUACCAUUUCCUUCACAAUGUCUACUUAUUUCUAUGGCUAACAGAUUUUGUAACAUUUGGAUUUUUUACAGUCUUACCAUUGCUUGUAAGCUGGAUUGGGUAAGAUGGAUCAUCUUUAAAGGCACCAGGAGUUAAGGCAGAUGUGGAGGCACAACGGGUGAUACCAGACACACACCAAGCACAUUAUGUUCGGACAUUCAAUCAUGACAUGAUCCAUGUGGAUGCUGUCCAUUGAGGAAAGAGUUUGUUCAGCGGUUUCUGGAUAGAAUUAAUUCCAAAGAUGGGAAAAAGUGCACAUCCAGACAAGGAGCAAGCAAAAAGACAAGGAACUUGGUGCAGAGAAAAGCUGUGGCCAUUAACCCCCAUGUGAACAGCUUCAUGCAGUCCCUGAUUGAGUUCGAAUGGACGACUUCAAAGUAAAGGCCACUGUGGUCUGUCUGCCACAGUUUAAUGCAUUUAUUUUUAGUGUUAAAUGAAAUUCAAGUAGAAUAUUUAAAACUAUGGGCCAGUGUUCUUUUUACCACAGUGAAAUGUUACCUUUUAGUCGAUGAUGGACUUUAAACUGAAAACUGAAAACUAUGGAACAGUGUUCUAUUUGCCAGAGUUAAAUAUGUUACAGCAGGGGUCUCCAAACUUGUUUAUACUUGUUGAUUUUAUUUUAUGUUACUUGAUUAUAUGUUUAUUAUUGUUUAAAAUCUUGUUUUAAAUAUGUUUUGUUUCAAUUAAAUGUUUUUUUA